AUUGAACGCUGGCGGCAUGCCUUACACAUGCAAGUCGAACGGCAGCAUGGAGAGCUUGCUCUCUGAUGGCGAGUGGCGAACGGGUGAGUAAUGCAUCGGAACGUACCGUGUAAUGGGGGAUAACGUAGCGAAAGUUACGCUAAUACCGCAUACGACCUGAGGGUGAAAGCAGGGGAUCGCAAGACCUUGCGUUAUACGAGCGGCCGAUGUCAGAUUAACUAGUUGGUGAGGUAAAGGCUCACCAAGGCGACGAUCGGUAGCGGGUCUGAGAGGAUGACCCGCCACACUGGGACUGAGACACGGCCCAGACUCCUACGGGAGGCAGCAGUGGGGAAUUUUGGACAAUGGGGGCAACCCUGAUCCAGCCAUGCCGCGUGAGUGAAGAAGGCCUUCGGGUUGUAAAGCUCUUUCGGCCGGGAAGAAAUCGCACAGGCUAAUACUCUGUGUGGAUGACGGUACCGGCAUAAGAAGCACCGGCUAACUACGUGCCAGCAGCCGCCGUAA
rnacentral:rRNA from 1 species